rnacentral:rRNA from 1 species
UCCGGUCUCGAUAGCGGAGUGGCACCACCUUUUUCCAUUCCGAACAGAGAAGUUAAACGCUCCAGCGCCGACGAUAGUAUGCGGGCAACUGUAUGCGAAAAUAGGUCAAGGCCGGAA